UAUAAGAAAAGUAAAAACACAAUUCGGUUGGUAGUCCGAAUGUAUAGUUUAUAACUUUAUAUCAGUAACCUUCCCCCCCCCUUAGGAUGUCCGUCUUUCCUAAUAAGUUU
rfam:Lactobacillus hominis DSM 23910 = CRBIP 24.179, type strain:CRBIP 24.179, WGS project CAKE01000000 data, contig: 2